CGACGACGACGAGCACGACA
rnacentral:miRNA from 1 species